CGGCGGGGGCGGGGCUUGUGGGAACGGCCCACCGCAGGGUUGGCCACCUUGAGAAGCUGCGAAGAUGGCGGAGUAAGGCGUGCCGCUGCAAACUGGCCUCUGGGCCGGGGGCGAGCAGCCCCCGGGAGGCCGAGUGCAUCUGUUGGACCGUGCGAGGAGAAGAAAAAAAAUAUCGGCCAGAGGAGAGGAACUAACCGAACAUUCUUCCUCCCUACCUUAUAGAGGGGAGUGGUCAUCUACACUAAAGCAAAGUGUUAGGCGCGUCCGUGCGAAGAGACCACCAAACAGGCUUUGUGUUCCUUAUCACAGGAAGAAAAUUUUCCUUGACCUUUAGGUGCUUUUAUAUUCAUCUCAAAAACAAAAUUCUGAACUCAGGACUUGGCAAGUAAGUAAUUGUGGGCUAAUCGUUCCAAAUACUGUUUAAGUAGCUUGAAAACAGGUACAUAGAAGUGGAACAAUAAGCCGUUAGCUUCAGCAGAAGACGAACAUGAAAAAUGACUGUAAGCUAUUGAAAUUUAAGUUAAAUCUUUUAUUUUUCAACAAAAGAAAUGUAUUAAAUAAAAAGGAGUAAUCUUGAUCAUUUGCUCAAACUACCAAUAAUUUUCACUGUCUAAAGAAAACAGACACAUAUUUAAUUAGAUUGAAGGAAAUCAAAUGAUUAAAAAAUAGGCCUGGCCCGGUGGCUCACGCCUGUAAUCCCAGCAGUUUGGGAGGCCGAGGUGGGCAGAUACUUGAGGUCAGGAGUUUGAGACCAGCCUGGGCAACAUGGGGGAACCCUAUCUCUACAAAAAAUACAAAAAUUAAGCAGGUGUGGUGGCACGCGCCUGUAAUCCCAGCUACUUGGGAGACUGAGGCAGGAGAAUUGCUUGAACUUGGGAGGCGGAGGCUGCAGCGAGCCGAGAUUGCGCCACUGCGCUCCAUCCUGGGCCACAGAGACAGACUCCAUCUCACCCAAAAAUAACGAUUAAAAAAAAAUGUUACUGGGUGGUUUUAUUUAAAUAAAUUUUGUGUAUAUUUCAGGUAUACAACAUGAUGUUUUGGGAUGCAUAUAGAUAGUAAAAAGGUUUCUACAGUGAAGUAAAUUAACAUCCAUUGUCUCACAUAGCUAUUUUGUUUUUGUGGCAACAGCUAAAAUCUCAUUUAGCAUGGAUCCUGUUUACAGUAUAAUUUUAUUACCUAUAGUUGUCAUGUUGUACAUUAGAUCGUUAGACUUGUUCAGCCUACGUACCUGUUCCUUUAUAUUCUCUGACCUAUAUCUCUUCCUUUACUAACUCCCACAUCACUGUUUUGUUCUCUAACUCUGUAUAUUUGAUUUUUUAAAAAAAUUUCACAUGUAAAUGAGAUUGUGCAAUGUUUUUCUUUCAGUCCUCCUGACUCAUCUAUGCUGUGACAAAUGGCAAAAUAUUUUGUUUUUUUUUUUUUUUGAGACAGUCUUGCUGUCUUAGCACUUGCUCUGUCACUGCACUCAGGCUGGAGUGCAGUGGUGCUAUCUCAGCUCACUGCAACCUCUGCCUCCCUAAUUCAAGCGAUUCUUUUGCCUCUGCCUCCCAAGUAGCCAGGAUUACAGGUGUGCGCCACCACGCCUGGUUAAUUUUUAUAUUUUUUUAGUAGAGACAGGAUUUCACCAUUUUGGCCAGGCUGGUCUCAAACUCUUGACUUAAUCCCAAAGUGCUGGGAUUACAGGCAUAUGCCACUGCGCCUGGCCAAGAUCUCAUUCUUUUUUAGGGCUGAGUAACAUAUGCCAUCAUAUAUAUGCACUGUAGUUUCUACAGUUUAUCCAUUCAUCCAUUGAUGAUGGACAGUUAGGUUUUUUCUGUAUCUUGGCUAUUGUGAAUAAUGUUCCACUGAACAUAGGAGUGCAGACAUCUUUAUGAAGUGAUUUCAUGUUUUUUGGUUAUAUGCCCAGAAGAGGGAGUGCUGGGUUAUGUGGUGGUUCCAUUUUUAAUUUCUUUAGAAACCUCCCAGCUGGGCGCGGUGGCUCAUGCCUGUAAUCCUGGCUACUCAGGAGGCUGUGGCAGGAGUAUCGCUUGAACCUGGGAGGCGGAGGUUGCAGUGAGCUGAGAUCACACCACUGUACUCCAGCCUGGUGACAGUAAGACUCCACCUCAAACAAACAAAAAAUGCACAAAAGGAAAAAAUGUUCUGGAUAAAGAGCAUAUGAAAGGUACUUUCUUUUAGAACAGUAUGAAUGUAUAUGAAUUUAUCUUUAUGUGAGAAAUAAUCUUUUUUGUAAGUUAAAGGUUAAAGACCCUGCUUGUUUCCUAAAUCAGAGGGUUAGAGCUGUUGAAAUUAAACCUUUAUAGUGCUUAACCUGGAAACAAAUGUACUACAGCCCCACUGAAGCCGCUCUAUGGGUUUUUUGCUUACGAUGUUUUAGCAACAGGCAUUUAUUUUGUAGAAUGGUAUACUUUCUGCUUUGUCUCCUCAUCUUUCUCCACUGGUUUCCUGGGUACAUUUUUUUUAAAGGGAGAGAAGUUUGUGAGUUUAAUGUUUUAAAAAAACUCCCAAGAACAUGGAUAAGCCGGAUUUCUCUCAUGCUUAUGAUUAGGGAGUUAGGAUUUAAAGAUGCAAAGCAGAAGGACUGAAAGGAAUAGCCAGUGAAUAUGUUUCAGUGGGUGAGGUGUGAAACCUUGUCUAAUAUAGAUGUGUCCUAUGGCCUGUGACUGCUUAUUCUUUAUCAAUGAGAACUCAGCAAACUAGUUUCUUUCUUGAUCUGAGGAACCACACAGCUCACAUCAGAAUAUAAUAGUGGAACUAGGGUGACUUCACUCCCUUUCACCUGAUGUCUAUCUUGGCCUUUUAGCACCUUGACUAUCCCUGAAAAGACUGGGUCUUUGUUUUCCCAGGGAAAAAACGAAGUGAUGUAGAUCUAAGAAAUAGUGCCUCUUUAAUAUUUAAUUCUUACAUGACAACUAACACACAGGGAAAAGGCUAUGUUAAGUUGAUUAUAGCUCCUCUUAAAAUGUCCUAUGCUGUCAGUUGGUCUUAGAGACAUGGGAAUAACCAAGCAAUAUUCAGACAUCUGCACUAUCUGGGGACAGCGCUACAUAGUACAAUGAUGUCAGCAGUUCAGUUACUUGGAACAAUUAAAGAUUACCCUUAACAGCCAUGUUAAUACAUCUAAAUGCUAAAAUAUACUACGAGUUUUUCAUAGUCUUGAAAGUAUACAGUUAAUUACUUUUCAAAGUUACUGUGGUCUCAUGUUUACUCUUCUUGUAUCUGUGAUAUGCAAAAAGAUGAAGACUCUUGGCCUCCAGGAGUUUACAUUCUCAUGGUGCUGUUGGUUCAAGCAGAUUGCUUUAGUUUAUUAAUGAACAUUGCUUGGCUAUUAAUUAUAUCCUAUUUGGAAGGAUCCCUUGGUGAACAGUUUUAAAAAGCAGAGGGCUGUGCUAAAUUUCAGGGUAUUGAUAGCUUGAGUUUACAUUGUAUUAGCCCUGCUCGUUAUCAUUUUUUUCCCCAGGGAGCUAUGCAGGUAAUGCUCAUUAGCAUGAAUCAGAAAAGAAACCAUUCUGCCUAAGAGCAUCUUAACCAUCCCCCUAAACCACCUAUGCUCUCCUGUUAUAGUUGUCAGUAAAUCACGAAGAAAAUUAACAGCUCCUUAAGACUCUACAUCCCUCAAUUCUCUUUCUUUUCCCAGAGUUUGUACAUCAUUCUCUACUCAGAUGGACCAGGAUUUGCAUAUAAGCCUUUUAAAACUGACUAGUGGUCCUAAUUUUAACAUUUUUGUGUAUGACUCCUAUCCCUUUUCUGAAGCAGCAUUGUGAUAGAUGUGGAGCUUCUACCUGCAUUUCUAAGCAAUUAUUAACCCAACUUUUGAGUUGAAACUUGCAUGGAUCCUUGUUAUGUCCCGUAAUUCCUCUGAAUCAAGGAAUUUAUUUUGCAUGCUUAUUAAACUCAAACUGGGUCUGAUUGAAAGUGCAAGCAAUAGUGACAGGACCUUAACUCUGGUUUUAGAGUACGAACAUUCUAAUGCAUGACUCAAAAUGUCCAGUGUUGUGGUUACUAGUUAUUUUAUAUAUGCAUUUGUUAAUAAUGAAGCAAUAGAGACUAAGACCAAUAGCUUGAAUAUAUUCAGAUUAUUUUCAUGUUUUAAUAAAGGAUUUUUCUUACUUCCAUUGAAAAUGGGAAGUAGAAGAUAAACAGGGGCAACCACAAGACAUUCAAACUGUCAGGACUAGGGCGUAGCAGUGCCCACCCUCUAACCACUUGCCUGGUUCCAUUAGUCCCCAAGCAUGUUUGAAAACAAAAGACACAAACUAAGCAUGCUGAAUAAAACUAGCUGCUAUGGCUGUAAUAAUCAGAAAGGUGCAGAGUUUCAGAAAGAGUAGGAAAGUAGGGAAUGCCAGUAUGGAGUAUGUAAAAUAACUAGAUAUGGAUAUGGGGUUUGUUUAUGAUAUGCUUUAUGUAGACAAAGUUUGAGGUCUUUUAAAACUGGGAUUUGAGUUGAAAAGAGUCAGGAUGCACAUAUUUCCACUAUUUCAGGAUUUUCAGAUGACUAGGCACAUGUUGUGGAUGAUACUGGUACCAACUACCAAUGACCAACUAUAAAGUACCCCUGCAAUAAGGGAGACUUCCUUUUUGUAGAAUAGUCCUGAAAAUACUGACAGAUCUGUGGUUAGUUUGUUAUUUUAUUGCAUAAAAAACAGUUUAAACAAAUUUUAUAGCCAAAGUUUUAUCCUUGAUGGGUUUGGCCAGACUGCAAUUUCUUGACUAAAGCUUUUAAUGCCAGGUUAAACAGGAGAAACUUUUUCCACUAGAAGAAAAUCCUUGCUAUCUAUUUUUUCCAAUAGAAGAAAAUCCUUGCUAUUUAUUUUAUUUGAUGAAUAAACAAAUUUAUUGCAGUAGCUUAAAAAAAUUUUUUUUUUAAACAGUCUCACUCUGUCGCCCAGGCUGGAGUGAAGCAAUGUGAUCUCAGCUCACUGCAACCUCCACCUCCCGAGUAGCUGGGAUUACAGACAUGCACCACCACCCUCAGCUAAUUUUUGUAUUUUUAGUAGAGACGGGGUUUCGCCAUGUUGGCCAGGCUGGUCUUUAACUCCUGGCCUUACGUGAUCCGCCCCCCCUUAGCCUUCCAAAGUGCUGGGAUUACAGGUGUGAGCCACUGCACCUGGCCUGUAGUAGCUUAAAAUUUUCCUUGAGAAAAUUCCUGACUUUAAAAAUAACCCUUAUAUAAGUACAAGUGAUUGUGACAAAUGACGUAAAAAUGGCAUUCAUGAUGUCUGAAACAAGCCUAAAUAGAAUUCAAGAUUAGACUAAAUGAUUUUCACAAAGCACAUUCAAGGUUUUACAUUCUAUGAUUGAAAAAAAUUUUUUGAAAACUUUUUAUUUCAUUCUUUCCUGUAGGAUUUUGCUACAAAUAACUUUGGGAAUGAAUAAAGUGGAAUGGUAACUUUCCAGUGGUUCAGAAUUGAAUUAGACUUCUUGUGACUGUGAUGUUUGGUUUCCAUUGAAAUAUAUGAAGUGAGAUGUCAUAUCCUGAAUAUAGUUUGUCUUCCCCAAUUACUUGAUAGCAUGUCUGUCAGCCAGUAAAGAUUAAGAACAGAGUUUCUCUAAAUUCCUCCGAUUAUUCCACUAAGGCACAUUAAAAUACUUAAUUUUGGGAAACCAGACAUCACAGAUUUCUCCAUGAAGUCCUAAAUCUUCUUUAAAGUCAGAAUAGGUAUCUUAGUUACUGACAGUAUUCAGGUUUUUUUCUCCCUUGGUGAUAUGUCAUUCCAUCAGUGAAAAAAUAUUUUCUCCCAGGGAUAAGAAAGGUAUUCUGGUAAUACAUUAUCAUCAAUCCUUAAACAGUAACAGUCUUGGCACUUAUCACAAAACCGACCCAUUUCUUAUAACCAGAAAGAUUAUCUUAGACUGUCCUUCACAUUAUACUUUACCUACUGCCUUGUAAGAAUAAGAGUUGCUCACUGUGUUUACUUGCUGUCCUCCAUAUUCUCCAUUGCACCAUUGGUGUAUAACGUUAAGAGUUUCAUUGAAUAUUAUUUUAAGUAUUACAAAAGGCAGCUUGCUUCUUAAUCUAUGCAUCUUUGGGGUUUUUGAAGAAAUUUAAUUCUUUGAUGUAAAAAGGAACUGUUAAAAAAGUUGGAAGCUCUGCACCUGUGUAUAUAUAUAUUUUAGCAAUAAAGCAGCAUGGGCUGAGAAUGCACUGAAAUCUC
rnacentral:lncRNA from 1 species